rnacentral:rRNA from 1 species
ACGCACGCUGGCGGCAUGCCUCACACCUGCCAGUCGCACGAGACCUUCGGGUCUAGUGGCGCACGGGUGCGUAACGCGUGGGAACCUGCCCUUAGGUUCGGAAUAACUCCCCGAAAGGGGUGCUAAUACCGGAUAAUGUCUUCGGACCAAAGAUUUAUCGCCUUUGGAUGGGCCCGCGUUGGAUUAGCUAGUUGGUAGGGUAAAAGCCUACCAAGGCGACGAUCCAUAGCUGGUCUGAGAGGAUGAUCAGCCACACUGGGACUGAGACACGGCCCAGACUCCUACGGGAGGCAGCAGUGGGGAAUAUUGGACAAUGGGCGAGAGCCUGAUCCAGCAAUGCCGCGUGAGUGAUGAAGGCCUUAGGGUUGUAAAGCUCUUUUACCCGGGAUGAUAAUGACAGUACCGGGAGAAUAAGCUCCGGCUAACUCCGUG